ACGAACGCUGGCGGCAGGCUUAACACAUGCAAGUCGAGCGCCCCGCAAGGGGAGCGGCAGACGGGUGAGUAACGCGUGGGAACGUACCUUUUGGUUCGGAACAACUCCGGGAAACUGGAGCUAAUACCGGAUAAGCCCUAACGGGGAAAGAUUUAUCGCCGAAAGAUCGGCCCGCGUCUGAUUAGCUAGUUGGUGAGGUAACGGCUCACCAAGGCGACGAUCAGUAGCUGGUCUGAGAGGAUGAUCAGCCACACUGGGACUGAGACACGGCCCAGACUCCUACGGGAGGCAGCAGUGGAGAAUAUUGGACAAUGGGCGCAAGCCUGAUCCAGCCAUGCCGCGUGAGUGAUGAAGGCCUUAGGGUUGUAAAGCUCUUUUGUCCGGGAAGAUAAUGACUGUACCGGAAGAAUAAGCCCCGGCUAACUUCGUG
rnacentral:rRNA from 1 species